AAACCAGCACCUCAAGUGGUCAGGAUGAUUAUUGGGCCUAAAGCAUCCGUAGCCGGCUCUGUAAGUUUUCGGUUAAAUCUGUACGCUUAACGUACAGGCUGCUGGGAAUACUGCAGAGCUAGGGAGUGGGAGAGGUAGACGGUACUCGGGAGGAAGUGGUAAAAUGCUUUGAUCUCUCGAUGACCACCUGUGGCGAAGGCGGUCUACCAGAACACGUCCGACGGUGAGGGAUGAAAGCUGGGGGAGCAAACCGGAUUAGAUACCCGAGUAGUCC
rnacentral:rRNA from 1 species